UAGAGAGAAAACGAAGAGAAAAGAUAAAUGAGAGAUUUAUGCAUCUUGCAUCGAUGCUGCCAACUAGUAGCAAGGUUGACAAAAUAUCACUACUCGAUGAGACAAUAGAAUACAUGAAAGAGCUUGAAAGGAGAGUUCAGGAGCUGGAGGCGAGAUCAGCAAGACGAUCAAAUGAUACUGCAGAGCAGACAUCUGAUAAUUGUGGCACUAGCAAAUUCAAUGACAUCAGGGGAUCACUACCGAACAAAAGGAAGGCAUGUGAUAUGGAUGAAAUAGAACCUGAAAGCUCCAAUGGAUUACUGAAAUGUAGUUCAGCUGAUAGUAUUGUCAUCAAUAUGAUCGAUAAGGAAGUCUCGAUCAAGAUGAGUUGUCUUUGGAGCGAGAGCUUGUUGCUUAAAAUUAUGGAGGCACUGACUGACCUACAUAUGGAUUGCCAUACAGUUCAGUCUUCC
rnacentral:misc_RNA from 1 species